rnacentral:rRNA from 1 species
GUGGGGAAUCUUGCGCAAUGGGCGAAAGCCUGACGCAGCCAUGCCGCGUGAAUGAUGAAGGUCUUAGGAUUGUAAAAUUCUUUCACCGGGGACGAUAAUGACGGUACCCGGAGAAGAAGCUCCGGCUAACUUCGUGCCAGCAGCCGCGGUAAUACGAAGGGGGCUAGCGUUGCUCGGAAUUACUGGGCGUAAAGGGCGCGUAGGCGGACAACUUAGUCAGAGGUGAAAGCCCAGGGCUCAACCUUGGAAUUGCCUUUGAUACUGGCUGUCUUGAGUUUGGGAGAGGUGAGUGGAACUCCGAGUGUAGAGGUGAAAUUCGUAGAUAUUCGGAAGAACACCAGUGGCGAAGGCGACUCACUGGCCCAAUACUGACGCUGAGGCGCGAAAGCGUGGGGAGCAAACAGGAUUAGAUACCCCUGUAGUCC